AGAGUUUGAUCCUGGCUCAGGAUGAACGCUGGCGGCGUGCCUAAUACAUGCAAGUCGAGCGAACGGACGAGAAGCUUGCUUCUCUGAUGUUAGCGGCGGACGGGUGAGUAACACGUGGAUAACCUACCUAUAAGACUGGGAUAACUUCGGGAAACCGGAGCUAAUACCGGAUAAUAUUUUGAACCGCAUGGUUCAAAAGUGAAAGACGGUCUUGCUGUCACUUAUAGAUGGAUCCGCGCUGCAUUAGCUAGUUGGUAAGGUAACGGCUUACCAAGGCAACGAUGCAUAGCCGACCUGAGAGGGUGAUCGGCCACACUGGAACUGAGACACGGUCCAGACUCCUACGGGAGGCAGCAGUAGGGAAUCUUCCGCAAUGGGCGAAAGCCUGACGGAGCAACGCCGCGUGAGUGAUGAAGGUCUUCGGAUCGUAAAACUCUGUUAUUAGGGAAGAACAUAUGUGUAAGUAACUGUGCACAUCUUGACGGUACCUAAUCAGAAAGCCACGGCUAACUACGUGCCAGCAGCCGCGGUAAUACGUAGGUGGCAAGCGUUAUCCGGAAUUAUUGGGCGUAAAGCGCGCGUAGGCGGUUUUUUAAGUCUGAUGUGAAAGCCCACGGCUCAACCGUGGAGGGUCAUUGGAAACUGGAAAACUUGAGUGCAGAAGAGGAAAGUGGAAUUCCAUGUGUAGCGGUGAAAUGCGCAGAGAUAUGGAGGAACACCAGUGGCGAAGGCGACUUUCUGGUCUGUAACUGACGCUGAUGUGCGAAAGCGUGGGGAUCAAACAGGAUUAGAUACCCUGGUAGUCCACGCCGUAAACGAUGAGUGCUAAGUGUUAGGGGGUUUCCGCCCCUUAGUGCUGCAGCUAACGCAUUAAGCACUCCGCCUGGGGAGUACGACCGCAAGGUUGAAACUCAAAGGAAUUGACGGGGACCCGCACAAGCGGUGGAGCAUGUGGUUUAAUUCGAAGCAACGCGAAGAACCUUACCAAAUCUUGACAUCCUUUGACAACUCUAGAGAUAGAGCAUUCCCCUUCGGGGGACAAAGUGACAGGUGGUGCAUGGUUGUCGUCAGCUCGUGUCGUGAGAUGUUGGGUUAAGUCCCGCAACGAGCGCAACCCUUAAGCUUAGUUGCCAUCAUUAAGUUGGGCACUCUAAGUUGACUGCCGGUGACAAACCGGAGGAAGGUGGGGAUGACGUCAAAUCAUCAUGCCCCUUAUGAUUUGGGCUACACACGUGCUACAAUGGACAAUACAAAGGGCAGCGAAACCGCGAGGUCAAGCAAAUCCCAUAAAGUUGUUCUCAGUUCGGAUUGUAGUCUGCAACUCGACUACAUGAAGCUGGAAUCGCUAGUAAUCGUAGAUCAGCAUGCUACGGUGAAUACGUUCCCGGGUCUUGUACACACCGCCCGUCACACCACGAGAGUUUGUAACACCCGAAGCCGGUGGAGUAACCUUUUAGGAGCUAGCCGUCGAAGGUGGGACAAAUGAUUGGGGUGAAGUCGUAACAAGGUAGCCGUAUCGGAAGGUGCGGCUGGAUCACCU
rnacentral:rRNA from 1 species